GAUGAACGCUAGCUACAGGCUUAACACAUGCAAGUCGAGGGGAAACGGCAUCGAAAGCUUGCUUUUGAUGGGCGUCGACCGGCGCACGGGUGAGUAACGCGUAUCCAACCUGCCCAUCACUUGGGAAUAACCUUGCGAAAGUAAGACUAAUGCCCAAUGACAUCCCACGAAGGCAUCCGAAUGGGAUUAAAGAUUUAUCGGUGAUGGAUGGGGAUGCGUCUGAUUAGCUUGUUGGCGGGGUGACGGCCCACCAAGGCAACGAUCAGUAGGGGUUCUGAGAGGAAGGUCCCCCACAUUGGAACUGAGACACGGUCCAAACGCCUACGGGAGGCAGCAGUGAGGAAUAUUGGUCAAUGGGCGAGAGCCUGAACCAGCCAAGUAGCGUGCAGGAUGACGGCCCUAUGGGUUGUAAACUGCUUUUAUAAGGGAAUAAAGUGGGUCACGUGUGACUUUUUGCAUGUACCUUGUGAAUAAGAACCGGCUAAUUCCGUG
rnacentral:rRNA from 1 species